rnacentral:rRNA from 1 species
UACGUAGGGCGCAAGCGUGUCCGGAAUUAUUGGGCGUAAAGAGCUCGUAGGCGGUCUGUUACGUCCGCUGUGAAAACCCAGGGCUUAACCCUGGGCUUGCAGUGGAUACGGGCAGACUAGAGGCAGGUAGGGGAGAAUGGAAUUCCCGGUGUAGCGGUGAAAUGCGCAGAUAUCAGGAGGAACACCGGUGGCGAAGGCGGGUCUCUGGGCCGAUACUGACGCUCGGGGCGCGAAAAGCGUGGGGAGCGAUCCGG